rnacentral:lncRNA from 1 species
UGAUAACGAUCUAUCCUAUCUUUAUCGUCACAUUAAAACAUUACAGAAGAAGCUAUUGAAACACUAAACUAAACCAAAAACCAUCACAUACAAUCGCAAUUCUUGGUGGCUAAUCCAUGAACUUCGUCCAAUUUAAGCACAUCGGCGAUAAAAAUUUCCCUGAGCAGAUCCAAGGUCCAAUUCCAGGCCAUGAAUGUCAGCCUACACCGAAUUGCAAACAAAGCACCCCCCAAAUCCCAAUCUAACCUCAGCAAUUAUCUCCCACCAGACAUCGUCCACCAACUAAUUAUAUCACCACCGUUUCACAAAGCUAGAUGUGGAAAUGGAUCAGACUGAAUAGUCCAACAGAUCCCAACCAGUCCCUCGCUAACCAAGCAACCACCUCUACAGAUCGAUGAAAACAAAUCAUCCAAACGGAACAAAAAACAAACAAUAGAACAAAACGGAACAGCCAAACACUCCACAAAACACGCAGAAAUGAAGAGAAGAAGAGAUUGAGAGGACAGCAAUAAAUAGAAAUGAAUGGAGACAUAGAUCGAAUCGAAAUGAAGAAGCUCAGAUCCGCAAUAGAAGAGGUCAUUGGAGAGUGGGAAAUGAAGAAAAGAGGAUUGAGUUGUUUACCUAAUGAGAUGGAGAAGAGGAGGAGGAAGGGGGGGGGGGGGGAUCCGAUCUCUGGGACGAAGAGAUCGUUGGUUACAUUGACCACUCAAAGAAUGAAGGAAGGAAGUUGUGGUUCACACAGAUAGAUCAGUGUCUGUGUGGACAGCUGGUCCAUAUCAGUUUCUGCUGUGACUUUGGGAUUUGUUUGGAAAUUGGGUUACUCUUAACCCACGCCCUGGAUAUCCGUAUAUUCUUG